GUCAGCGUGAACAGGCGCAGAGACUGUGAGAGCCGAACGAGAAGAACUCGCUCUGCCAGCCGCCGGGAGCCGCCAGCUCCCCGGCCGCUGGCACCGAAGGAGCCGGCUAGCUAGGUAGCUAGCUGGCGGGCUGGUGUUGGACCAUCCAUUCAGCAAGAAAAGUGACUGUGUGAACUGAAGAUGGAUUGAAACAUGGAAGCUGGAACCGUCCCAUCAAAAUAAGAGAGCUGCUCCUCUCAGGUUGCACUCUGCAGCUAAUCUGUGUGACUGAUCAGGGAGACAAACAGGACGAUGCCUCCCAG